rnacentral:lncRNA from 10 species
AAGAAGAAGGGGCCACCGAGACCCCAAGAGAGUCAGGGAGACAGACGCACCAAACGACCGACACAACCAGGGACAGAUAUCCUUCGAGUUGGAUUUCGACUGGGUUCUGCCAGUGGGAUGUAUCCAUGCGAGAUUCUGGAACUAACAUCAGAGAGAGUCCAAGCUUCUAACUUUUAUCAGCGGCAGUGACAAUAGUCAAGCAGCAUUGAUGACAAACGGCAAGAGUUUAGAAAGUACCAGUGACGUGCCUGAUAGAAUCUCACCACAAGAUGGAAGCCAACUCGUCAGAAGCCUGGAAAGCCCACCCAGCGUGGGACCUCUGUGGGUCCAGGAUCUUGGAAUGGUAUCCCAUGGUUCAAUCUUCUGGAUUCAACCACAUAAAUUUACCCCACCCAUGUCGUGGACCCAAGCUUCCUACCAUGUAUACUUAGCUUAAAUGCAAGAUAGUACUAUUUUGUUCAUCUUGAUUGGAGUGAGAAAUGAAUAGGUCCAUGCACAUAUAUUUCUUUUACCACAACAAGAUGAUGAAGAAAUAAAUCCAUAAUAUCGAUACUUUUGUAUAAGUUGUGUUUACAGUUGCGGUAAGAAAUUUUAUAAUUGUUGAUUUGCUUUAUAUAAUUUCUGCUUGCUUUUUAUGAUAUUUAAAACAAAAUCUAAGCAACAAAUUUUAUGUCUGAUUAGAUUUACAGAAGCUGCUUAAGUGCUUAGGGAUAAUUUGUUCAUCAUAUUUGUAAGUCUCCCUUGUUAGGUGUUUGAAGUGUUUGAAUUGGCUAAAUUAAAUUUGUAAUUGUAGUUUGAAAUAUCUAAA